GGGCCCGUAGCUUAGCCUGGUGGAGCACCCGGCUGAUAACCGGGAGGUCUCCGGUUCAAAUCCGGAUGGGCCCACCA
rnacentral:tRNA from 1 species